rnacentral:rRNA from 1 species
AUGGCCGCCAGCAAUGACGCAGGCGUGGUGGUCGUCUUCGACUUCGACAAGACCAUCAUCGACUGCGACAGCGACAACUGGGUCGUCGACGCCCUGGGCGCCAGCCAGCGGUUUGACGAGCUCCUGCUCCACCUCCCAUGGAACUCGGCCAUCGACGCCAUGAUGGGCGAGUUGCACUCUCAAGGCAAAUCGAUGGACGAGAUCGCGGGAAGCAUCAGGACGGCGCCUCUGUCCCGUCACGUCGUGGCGGCCAUCAAGACCGCGCAGGCUCUCGGCUGCGAGCUGCGGAUCCUCAGCGACGCCAACGCAUUUUUCAUCGACACCGUCCUUGCGCACCACGGUCUGGCCGGCUACUUCUCGGAGAUCAGCACCAACCCGGCCAGCGUCGACGCCGGCGGCCGCCUCAGAAUCACCCCGCACCACGACUUCCGUCACGGCUCUUGUAGCAGCCACGGCUGCGCCCUCGCCACCUGCCCUCCCAACAUGUGCAAGGGCAAGGUGAUGGAGCAGAUGCUGCAAGAACUGUCGGUGGCGGCGGUGGCGGGGAUGAGGAGGCCGAGUAGAGUGGUGUACCUCGGCGACGGCAGGGGCGACUACUGCCCUACCCUAAAGCUGGCCGAGCGAGACUAUAUGAUGCCCAGGAAGGGCUACCCCGUGUGGGACCUCAUCGCCGGAGACCGGCGGGCCGUCCGCGCAGACGUGCGCGGGUGGGCCGACUUCAAGGACCUGGAGACGGUGCUGCUGGACAUCAUACACGAAUGCGCCGUGGCUGCCAUGGUUGAACAAGACGGUGGAGGUCAGGUGGUGGUGGGCAUGGUGGUGCCAGAGUGUUGUGCCCUUCCUGCUCCCAAGGUGGCGAUGGCAGUUCUCCCCAAGGCAAUUCAUGCGUCCAACUGA